GUAACGGGGCUAAACCAUGCACCGAAGCUGCGGCAGCGACGCUGAUGCGUUGUUGGGUAGGGGAGCGUUCUGUAAGCCUGCGAAGGUGUGCUGUGAGGCAUGCUGGAGGUAUCAGAAGUGCGAAUGCUGACAUAAGUAACGAUAAAGCGGGUGAAAAGCCCGCUCGCCGGAAGACCAAGGGUUCCUGUCCAACGUUAAUCGGGGCAGGGUGAGUCGACCCCUAAGGCGAGGCCGAAAGGCGUAGUCGAUGGGAAACAGGUUAAUAUUCCUGUACUUGGUGUUACUGCGAAGGGGGGACGGAGAAGGCUAUGUUGGCCGGGCGACGGUUGUCCCGGUUUAAGCGUGUAGGCUGGUUUUCCAGGCAAAUCCGGAAAAUCAAGGCUGAGGCGUGAUGACGAGGCACUACGGUGCUGAAGCAACAAAUGCCCUGCUUCCAGGAAAAGCCUCUAAGCAUCAGGUAACAUCAAAUCGUACCCCAAACCGACACAGGUGGUCAGGUAGAGAAUACCAAGGCGCUUGAGAGAACUCGGGUGAAGGAACUAGGCAAAAUGGUGCCGUAACUUCGGGAGAAGG
rnacentral:rRNA from 1 species